AGAGUUUGAUCCUGGCUCAGAUUGAACGCUGGCGGCAUGCCUUACACAUGCAAGUCGAACGGUAACGCGGGGGCAACCCUGGCGACGAGUGGCGAACGGGUGAGUAAUACAUCGGAACAUAUCCAGUAGCGGGGGAUAACCUAUCGAAAGAGGGACUAAUACCGCAUACGAUCUACGGAUGAAAGCAGGGGACCGCAAGGCCUUGCACUAUUGGAGUGGCCGAUGUCGGAUUAGCUAGUUGGUGGGGUAAAAGCUUACCAAGGCGACGAUCCGUAGCUGGUCUGAGAGGACGAUCAGCCACACUGGAACUGAGACACGGUCCAGACUCCUACGGGAGGCAGCAGUGGGGAAUUUUGGACAAUGGGCGCAAGCCUGAUCCAGCCAUGCCGCGUGAGUGAAGAAGGCCUUCGGGUUGUAAAGCUCUUUCGGUGAAGACGAAACGGUUCAUGCUAAUAACGUGAACUAAUGACGGUACUCACAGAAGAAGCACCGGCUAACUACGUGCCAGCAGCCGCGGUAAUACGUAGGGUGCAGGCGUUAAUCGGAAUUACUGGGCGUAAAGCGUGCGCAGGCGGUUUGCUAAGACAGGUGUGAAAUCCCCGGGCUUAACCUGGGAAUUGCGCUUGUAACUGGCAAGCUAGAGUGUGGCAGAGGGGGGUGGAAUUCCACGUGUAGCAGUGAAAUGCGUAGAUAUGUGGAGGAACACCGAUGGCGAAGGCAGCCCCCUGGGUUAACACUGACGCUCAUGCACGAAAGCGUGGGGAGCAAACAGGAUUAGAUACCCUGGUAGUCCACGCCCUAAACUAUGUCAACUAGUUGUCGGGGAAGAAAUUCCUUGGUAACGAAGCUAACGCGUGAAGUUGACCGCCUGGGAGUACGGCCGCAAGGUUAAAACUCAAAGGAAUUGACGGGGACCCGCACAAGCGGUGGAUUAUGUGGAUUAAUUCGAUGCAACGCGAAAAACCUUACCUACCCUUGACAUGCUAGGAAGCCCGCAGAGAUGUGGGUGUGCCCGAAAGGGAACCUAGACACAGGUGCUGCAUGGCUGUCGUCAGCUCGUGUCGUGAGAUGUUGGGUUAAGUCCCGCAACGAGCGCAACCCUUGCCAUUAGUUGCUACAUUCAGUUGGGCACUCUAAUGGGACCGCCGGUGACAAACCGGAGGAAGGUGGGGAUGACGUCAAGUCCUCAUGGCCCUUAUGGGUAGGGCUUCACACGUAAUACAAUGGUCGGUACAGAGGGCUGCCAACCCGCAAGGGGGAGCUAAUCCCAGAAAGCCGAUCGUAGUCCGGAUUGUAGUCUGCAACUCGACUGCAUGAAGCCGGAAUCGCUAGUAAUCGCGGAUCAGCAUGUCGCGGUGAAUACGUUCCCGGGUCUUGUACACACCGCCCGUCACACCAUGGGAGUGGGUUCCACCAGAAGUAGUUAGCCUAACCGCAAGGAGGGCGAUUACCACGGUGAGAUUCAUGACUGGGGUGAAGUCGUAACAAGGUA
rnacentral:rRNA from 1 species